GCUAACAAAAAGGUGCGAAAGGAACGGUAACGACUUUUAGUUCACUGCAAGCAAAGAACAAAGCGACGAUCAAAGAAGACAUCGGGGGAUCAUGCGAGCGGUACACGUCCGACCUUGGCGAGAUAGGCCAAGGCGUCGGCACUGCGCCAAGGCGCCCUAGGGAGCGCAGCCUCGUCCCACGGACAGUCGUGUUCGUGGAGAAAGCGCACACAAUCGAGGCGGCGCUGCGAAAUGGCCCCUCGCCAUGCCGUGCUGUCCCACGGACAUCCGUGCUGGCGCGCAUAGGCCAGGACCUCGACCCUGCCGUAUGCGGCGGCGUUGGCGCAAAAGGUCGCGUCCCAUGGACAGCCGAGGCUGCGGAGGCGCUCGAUCAGCGGCAACCCAUACCCAGCGGCAAAGGCAAGCACCCUCGCGUCGCACGGACAGCCGUUGGUGAGGGCGUACUCGACGCACGGGAUGCUCGUCGGCGAGUACAUGGCCUGUAUGCAUGUCGUCUCGCUCCACGGACAGCCAUGCUCGUGCGCAUAGGCCAGACAGUCGACGUGGUCGUACCGGGCAGCAGCCGUAGUCGUCGCUUCGCCCCACGGACAGCCGUGCUCGUGUACAUAGGCCAGGCAGUCGACGUGGCCGCUCUGCGCGGCGUUGAUCGCCGUCGACUUGUCCCACGGGCAGCCGUGCUCGUGCAGGUAGCGCAAGUUUUCCAGUCUGCCGUUUCCUGCAGCCGCUACCGGCGCCCCUUCAUCCCAUGGGCAGCCGUUGUCGUGUGCGUAGGCGAGUGCGUCGAGACUGUCGAGAGCGGCAGCCUCUCGACAGACGUCGGCAUCCCAGGGGCAUCCAGACUCGUGCAGAUAGCGCAGGAUGUCGACGUGUCCCCACCUGGCGGCAUUGGCCGGCGCCCUUGUGCUGGUGGGACAUUCAUGCUCGCACAAGUAGAUCACACAAUCCAUGUGUCCAUUUCGCGCGGCUUCUUCCAUCGCCGUAGCGCUCCACGGACAGCCGUGCUCGUGCAGGCAGCGCAGGGCGUCGAGGUGACCGCGACACGCUGCAGUCGCCGUAGCGUGAUGUGAACCGUAAAAGCCGCGACGCGUGGUCCACGUGUAUCCGACACUAGAAAGAUACUCGAUCAAGUCUCGGCGAUCGCAGGCCGCUGCUACAUUGUCGAUGCCGGCAUCCCACGCGCAGCCGUGCUCGCGCACAUAAAUCAAACAGUCGAGGGAUGUCGGGUGUGCUGCGGCGGUCGCCUGAUUUGUGGCCCAUGGGCAGCCGUUUUCGUGCAAGUAGCGCAGACAGUCGAGGUGGCCGCCUUUGGCCGCCAUAUAGGCGGCCUCGGACUCCCACGGACACCCGUUUUCAUAAAGAUAGCGCAGGCAGGCGAGGUGGCCUUUGGCUGCUGCCCAGAAGCACGCCAGAGCAUCCCACUUUUGGCGACGACUGUGGGCGUACUGGAGGAUGUCCAGGUGGCCACAGGCGGCGGCCUCGCGGCAGGCGUCGCGCAACCAUGGGCACUCCUGCUCAUCCAGAUAGCGGACGCAGGCGAGACUGCCGCUGCGGAUGGCCGCUCUAGAUGUCGACCUGCCCCACGGGCACACGGGUUCGGUGGCAUAGCGCCACAAUUCGGGACGCGCGGCCCUGGCGGCGGCCGCCUUGCUGCCACUACGCCUCGGGCGCACGAUAGUGCGUGCAUAACAGAGACAAUCGAAAUGGCCCGCGGCAGCGGCCUCUGUGCACAGCGUUGUCGGUGAUGAACAAGAGGUCACGCACAAGUUGCGCCCCAUCGCCAAUGGAUCGCUACAAAUCGACCUCCAUAAGCGGCACACGGGCGAUGCCGCGCGGCGUGCCUCAAUGCACGGCAAAAAGGCGAGCACGGCCGCCACCAACUCGUUGGGUAGAUUGUCAAAGGUUGACAUCCUCUCAAAUGCCGCUGUCGCCUGCUAGAGAUCGAUCCUUGUGUCUUGUUUUGCCGAUACUUGGUUGCUCGACGGAAAAAAAAAAGAUUUAUUCUUGGCCUCGCUUUUCUCUUGAUCAGGGAUCGGCAAUGACACAGUGCAAAAAACACAGGCGCAGAGGAAAAAAGUAAG
rnacentral:lncRNA from 1 species